CAGCAGCCGCGGGAAUACGUAUGGUGCAAGCGUUAAUCGGAAUUACUGGGCGUAAAGCGUGCGCAGGCGGUUUGUUAAGACAGAUGUGAAAUCCCCGGGCUCAACCUGGGAACUGCAUUUGUGACUGGCAAGCUAGAGUGUGGCAGAGGGGGGUGGAAUUCCGCGUGUAGCAGUGAAAUGCGUAGAUAUGCGGAGGAACACCGAUGGCGAAGGCAGCCCCCUGGGCCAACACUGACGCUCAUGCACGAAAGCGCGGGGAGCAAACAGGAUUAGAUACCCGUGUAGUCCCUGUCUCUUAUAC
rnacentral:rRNA from 1 species